GAUGAAGAACGCAGCGAAACGCGAUAAGUAGUGUGAAUUGCAGAAUUCAGUGAAUCAUCGAAUCUUUGAACGCACAUUGCGCCCCUUGGUAUUCCAUGGGGCAUGCCUGUUCGAGCGUCAUUUGUACCUUCAAGCUUUGCUUGGUGUUGGGUGUUUGUCCUGAGGGACUCGCCUUAAAGUAAUUGGCAGCCAGUGUUUUGGUUUUGAAGCGCAGCACAAGUCGCGAUUCAAAGCUAUACGCCAGCUUCCACAAGCCUUUUUCACUUUUGACCUCGGAUCAGGUAGGGAUACCCGCUGAACUUAAGCAUAUCAAUAAGCGGAGGA
rnacentral:misc_RNA from 1 species